rnacentral:rRNA from 1 species
UACGAAGGGGACUAGCGUUGUUCGGAAUUACUGGGCGUAAAGCGCGCGUAGGCGGAUCGCUAAGUCAGGGGUGAAAUCCCAGGGCUCAACCCUGGAACUGCCUUUGAUACUGACGAUCUGGAGAUCGGGAGAGGUUGGUGGAAUUCCGAGUGUAGAGGUGAAAUUCGUAGAUAUUCGGAGGAACACCAGAAGCGAAGGCGGCCAACUGGCCCGAUACUGACGCUGAGGCGCGAAAGCGUGGGGAGCAACAGG